rnacentral:rRNA from 1 species
CCUACGGGAGGCAGCAGUGGGGAAUAUUGCGCAAUGGGCGAAAGCCUGACGCAGCGACGCCGCGUGAGGGAUGAAGGUCUUCGGAUCGUAAACCUCUGUCAGCAGGGAAGAACGGUCACUGUGCUAAUCAGCAGUGCAUUGACGGUAACUGCAACGGAAGCACCGGCUAACUCCGUGCCAGCAGCCGCGGUAAUACGGAGGGUGCGAGCGUUAAUCGGAUUUACUGGGCGUAAAGCGCUCGUAGGCGGUAUGUCAAGUCAAGGGUGAAAUCCCCGCGCUCAACGUGGGAACUGCCUUUGAAACUGGCAAACUGGAGUGUGUGAGAGGAUAGUGGAAUUCCAGGUGUAGGAGUGAAAUCCGUAGAUAUCUGGAGGAACAUCAGUGGCGAAGGCGACUAUCUGGCACAUAACUGACGCUGAGGAGCGAAAGCGUGGGUAGCAAACAGGAUUAGAUACCCUUGUAGUC